rnacentral:rRNA from 1 species
GUGAACGCUGGCGGUAGGCCUAACACAUGCAAGUCGAACGGCAGCACAGUAAGAGUUUGCUCUUACGGGUGGCGAGUGGCGGACGGGUGAGGAAUACAUCGGAAUCUACUUUUUCGUGGGGGCUAACGUAGGGAAACUUACGCUAAUACCGCAUACGACCUACGGGUGAAAGCAGUGGAUCUUCGGACCUUGCGCGAUUGAAUGAGCCGAUGUCGGAUUAGAUAGUUGGCGGGGUAAAGGCCCACCAAGGCGACGAUCCGUAGCUGGUCUGAGAGGAUGAUCAGCCACACUGGAACGGAGACACGGUCCAGACUCCUGCGGGAGGCAGCAGUGGGGAAUAUUGGACAAUGGGCGCAAGCCUGAUCCAGCCAUACCGCGUGGGUGAAGAAGGCCUUCGGGUUGUAAAGCCCUUUUGUUGGGAAAGAAAAGCAGCAGGUUAAUACCCCGCUGUUCUGACGGUACCCAAAGAAUAAGCACCGGCUAACUUCGUG